rnacentral:rRNA from 1 species
GACGAACGCUGGCGGCGUGCUUAACACAUGCAAGUCGAACGGUAAGGCCCUUCGGGGUACACGAGUGGCGAACGGGUGAGUAACACGUGGGUGAUCUGCCCUGCACUUCGGGAUAAGCCUGGGAAACUGUGUCUAAUACCGGAUAGGACUCCGGACUGCAUGGUCUGGGGUGGAAAGCUUUUGCGGUGUGGGAUGGGCCCGCGGCCUAUCAGCGUGUUGGUGGGGUGAUGGCCUACCAAGGCGACGACGGGUAGCCGGCCUGAGAGGGUGACCGGCCACACUGGGACUGAGAUACGGCCCAGACUCCUACGGGAGGCAGCAGUGGGGAAUAUUGCACAAUGGGCGCAAGCCUGAUGCAGCGACGCCGCGUGAGGGAUGACGGCCUUCGGGUUGUAAACCUCUUACAGCAUCGACGAAGCGAAAGUGACGGUAGGUGCAGAAGAAGGACCGGCCAACUACGUGCCAGCCGCCGCAGUAA